UACGAAGGGGGCUAGCGUUGCUCGGAAUCACUGGGCGUAAAGGGCGCGUAGGCGGCGUUUUUAAGUCGGGGGUGAAAGCCUGUGGCUCAACCACAGAAUGGCCUCGAUACUGGGACGCUUGAGUAUGGUAGAGGUUGGUGGAACUGCGAGUGUAGAGGUGAAAUUCGUAGAUAUUCGCAAGAACACCAGUGGCGAAGGCGGUUCACUGGCCCGGUACUGACGCUGAGGUGCGAAAGCGUGGGGAGCAAACAGG
rnacentral:rRNA from 1 species